rnacentral:rRNA from 1 species
ACGAACGCUGGCGGCGUGCUUAACCCCUGCCAGUCGAACGGAAAGGCCCCUUUGGGGGUACUCGAGUGGCGAACGGGUGAGUAACACGUGAGUAACCUGCCCUUGACUUCGGGAUAACUUCAGGAAACUGGGGCUAAUACCGGAUAGGAAUCCUUGCUGCAUGGUGGGGGUUGGAAAGCUUCGGCGGUUUUGGAUGGACUCGCGGCUUAUCAGCUUGUUGGUGGGGUAGUGGCUUACCAAGGCUUUGACGGGUAGCCGGCCUGAGAGGGCGACCGGCCACAGUGGGACUGAGAUACGGCCCAGACUCCGACGGGAGGCAGCAGGGGGGAAUAUUGCACAAUGGGCGGAAGCCUGAUGCAGCAACGCCGCGUGCGGGAUGACGGCCUUCGGGUUGUAAACCGCUUUCAGCAGGGGCGAAGCUUGUGGUGACGGUACCUGCAGAAGAAGCACCGGCUAACUACGUG